rnacentral:rRNA from 1 species
GCCACCGGCCAUACCACCCUGAACACCCCUGACCCUAUCUGCUCUCAGAAGCAGUCGGGUCAGGUAUGGUUAGUCCUUGACAGGGAGAAAGCGAGGCACCAGGGUUGGAGGGC